rnacentral:rRNA from 1 species
UAACACGUGGGAACGUGCCUUUAGGUUCGGAAUAACUCAGGGAAACUUGUGCUAAUACCGGAUGUGCCCUUCGGGGGAAAGAUUUAUCGCCUUUAGAGCGGCCCGCGUCUGAUUAGCUAGUUGGUGAGGUAAUGGCUCACCAAGGCUACGAUCAGUAGCUGGUCUGAGAGGAUGACCAGCCACAUUGGGACUGAGACACGGCCCAAACUCCUACGGGAGGCAGCAGUGGGGAAUCUUGCGCAAUGGGCGAAAGCCUGACGCAGCCAUGCCGCGUGAAUGAUGAAGGUCUUAGGAUUGUAAAAUUCUUUCACCGGGGACGAUAAUGACGGUACCCGGAGAAGAAGCCCCGGCUAACUUCGUGCCAGCAGCCGCGGUAAUACGAAGGGGGCUAGCGUUGCUCGGCAUUACUGGGCGUAAAGGGAGCGUAGGCGGACAUUUAAGUCAGGGGUGAAUCCCGGGGCUCAACCUCGGAACUGCCCUUGAUACUGGAUGUCUUGAGUGUGAGAGAGGUAUGUGGAACUCCGAGUGUAGAGGUGAAAUUCGUAGAUAUUCGGAAGAACACCAGUGGCGAAGGCGACAUACUGGCUCAUUACUGACGCUGAGGCUCGAAAGCAUGGGGAGCAAACAGGAUUAGAUACCCUGGUAGUCCACGCCGUAAACGAUGAUUGCUAGUUGUCGGGAUGCAUGCAUUUCGGUGACGCAGCUAACGCAUUAAGCAAUCCGCCUGGGGAGUACGGUCGCAAGAUUAAAACUCAAAGGAAUUGACGGGGGCCCGCACAAGCGG